UAGGGAGUCUCCGGCAAUGGACGAAAGUCUGACCGAGCAACGCCGCGUGAGUGAAGAAGGUUUUCGGAUCGUAAAACUCUGUUGUUAGAGAAGAACAAGGGUGAGAGUAACUGUUCACCCCUUGACGGUAUCUAACCAGAAAGCCACGGCUAACUACGUGCCAG
rnacentral:rRNA from 1 species